GGAGUUUGGACCGUGUCUCAGUUCCAAUGUGGCCGAUUACCCUCUCAGGUCGGCUACUGAUCGUCGCCUUGGUGGGCCGUUACCUCACCAACUAGCUAAUCAGACGCAGGUUCAUCCGAUGCCGAUAAAUCUUUGGCAGCAGACCCAUGUGGAUCCGCUGCAUCAUCAGGUAUUAAUCCCAGGUUUCCCUAGGCUAUCCCUGUGCACCGGGCAGAUUACCUACGCGUUAACUCACCCGUCCGCCGCUGUCCAUGCUAUCACUUUGACGAAUCUCAGAUCAAGCAUUUCUCGCUCGACUUGCAUGUGUUAGGCACGCCGCCAGCGUUCAUCCUGAGCCAUGAUCAAAACUCU
rnacentral:rRNA from 1 species